rnacentral:misc_RNA from 1 species
GAUGAAGAACGUAGCGAAAUGCGAUAAGUAAUGUGAACUGCAGAAUUCAGUGAAUCAUCGAAUCUUUGAACGCAUCUUGCGCUCCUUGGUAUUCUGAGGAGCAUGCCUGUUUGAGUGUCAUUAAAUUCUCAACCGCACUGACUUUGAAUUGGUGUGGCUUGGAUUUGGGGGGAAAAUUGUUGUGGGCUUUUUUGUAUAGUCUGCUCCCCUGAAAUUGAUUAGCGGUACCUUUGUGGAACUGUCUACAGGUGUGAUAAUUAUCUACAUCCUAGACAUCUGCUGGAAUGCUGCUUUCUAAACCUUACUUGUAUUGACAAUCUUGACCUCAAAUCAGGUAGGACUACCCGCUGAACUUAAGCAUAUCAAUAAGCGGAGGA